UACGAGGGGAGCUAGCGUUAUUCGGAAUUACUGGGCGUAAAGCGCACGUAGGCGGCUUUGUAAGUUAGAGGUGAAAGCCCAGAGCUCAACUCUGGAAUUGCCUUUAAGACUGCAUCGCUUGAAUCCAGGAGAGGUGAGUGGAAUUCCGAGUGUAGAGGUGAAAUUCGUAGAUAUUCGGAAGAACACCAGUGGCGAAGGCGGCUCACUGGACUGGUAUUGACGCUGAGGUGCGAAAGCGUGGGAGCAAACAGG
rnacentral:rRNA from 1 species